UACGUAGGGUGCAAGCGUUAAUCGGAAUUACUGGGCGUAAAGCGUGCGCAGGCGGUGAUGUAAGACAGAUGUGAAAUCCCCGGGCUCAACCUGGGAACUGCAUUUGUGACUGCAUCGCUGGAGUGCGGCAGAGGGGGGUGGAAUUCCACGUGUAGCAGUGAAAUGCGUAGAGAUGUGGAGGAACACCGAUGGCGAAGGCAGCCCCCUGGGCUAACACUGACGCUCAUGCACGAAAGCGUGGGGAGCAAACAGG
rnacentral:rRNA from 1 species